rnacentral:rRNA from 1 species
AUUGAACGCUGGCGGCAUGCCUUACACAUGCAAGUCGAACGGCAGCACGGGGGCAACCCUGGUGGCGAGUGGCGAACGGGUGAGUAAUGCAUCGGAACGUGCCCAGUAGUGGGGGAUAACCAGUCGAAAGACUGGCUAAUACCGCAUACGACCCAAGGGUGAAAGCGGGGGACCGUAAGGCCUCGCGCUAUUGGAGCGGCCGAUGUCUGAUUAGCUAGUUGGCGGGGUAAGAGCCCACCAAGGCGACGAUCAGUAGCUGGUCUGAGAGGACGACCAGCCACACUGGGACUGGGACACGGCCCAGACUCCUACGGGAGGCAGCAGUGGGGAAUUUUGGACAAUGGGCGCAAGCCUGAUCCAGCCAUGCCGCGUGCGGGAAGAAGGCCUUCGGGUUGUAAACCGCUUUUGGCAGGAACGAAACGGCGCAGGCCAAUACCUUGCGCUAAUGACGGUACCUGCAGAAUAAGCACCGGCUAACUACGUGCCAGCCGCCGCAGUAAAAC